rnacentral:ncRNA from 1 species
CACCGUGAGGUGAUGGCGAGAAGAAGCAAUAGCAAAAUCGUAGCCUGACGUACAGAAACCUAAUAUCAAGGCUUACAUAAAGGAUGAGUGGGCUUAUAGUCACAAAGUCCAAAAGUCAAAGUGACUUAAUCAAACUGAGUAUA